rnacentral:lncRNA from 1 species
CAACAGCCAGCGCCGCGCUGCUUCCCUGCUGCAUCAAGGAGGGAGAGCCCGUCCCUGGUCUGCUCAAGGACCGGGUCUUCCAAACACUGGUGUUGCACCUCAGCCUUUUUUCUUCUCACAUUUGUGUUUUUAGGGCAACUUUUCUGCCCAGCCAACAGCUGAGAGAAAAAAAGGCUGCACCUAAAAAUAACCGUGCUGCGCUGACAGCAGUGAGUCACCACAGCACCAAGAGACAACAGCCGUGGCAGGAGGCAGCCGCCCGCCCUUCAGCCUCACACGUUCAUGGGCCUGGGUCAUGGUGCUGGGCGCUUCCUCCCCCAUGAAAACUCCUCUUCCUGAGAACACAGAUCCACACGUACAUCGAUAUUGAUACUGAGGUAAAACACACUGCUUUCCCUCACCCCGAUGGCUUAGACAUUGCAAACCGUUACUGAGUGUACCUCCCACCCCCCGUGCAUCCAGGUUGGCAGAAAAAAAGGUGAUUUUUUCCCUAACCCUGAGAUGAAACAACCCCCAUUUGCUGGAGCUCUCUUCUUUGGGAGGUAUUUCUGGAGGGAAAGAAGAGCUGCUGUUAAUGAUAAUAAUUAAUCAUUAGUGAUAACAACCAAGGGAAGCACUGAAAAGGUCAUCGAGUGACUCCUGUGUCUUAAUUUGCAGGGAGGCUCCUUUUUCUUUGAUUUCCCAUGAAUUCAGUUAUUUUUUCACCCUGUCCCCUGCAGUCUGGGCAGUGCUAUCAGGCAGCCUGGGGUCUGGCAGGGUUCUGGGUUUGACCACUGCGGUUCCCCCUCCACGGGGUGCAGAGGAAGGACAUCCCAGCGGGGUUUCUCCCGCUCGCUGCCUCGAGGCUGCGUCCCGAAGAACCUGACCUCGGCCCGAGGCCACCCUGAUAGGGGUGUGCCAGCAGCAGCUGCGGCAGCCCCACAAGUGCUGCAAGGAGACCCUGUUGGAGAGAAAGCCUGCUCCAUGGAGCCAUCCCUAAGGAUGCCUCACCUUUCAGCUGGAGCCAGGUGAACGUGUCCCAGGUACUUUGGGGAGCACGUGGAGAGCUGCGGCGUGGGCACCCCCAUGCACUCUGCAAGCUGCAAAGCAACAGAGAGGAAAGAAGCCCCUCCUGGGGCUCGCAGAGCCUCAAAUCUUUCAUGAAAACCCCUCCAGCUACGGGCACGAUGGGCUUUGCCCCACAUCUCCCUGCUGGACUGGGCCCCACCGGGAAGUGCCUGGUUCCCUGCACUGGGAAUACGUUGGAGCAGGCUCACUGCAGCAAUUACUGCUGCACAGGAAGACAAAUUAAUACCCAUUACCUAAAUAACUCCCUGAAUAAUAAUU